AUGUGGUCUUUGGCUGGACAGACAUUGCUCAGAGGAAACUGUUUCUAUAGAAAGAGGAGAGAACGGAAAUCAAGGGGGACAACCAGCCAUUCUGCCACCCCCCACGCAGGACUUGACAACCUAGCUCCUGCUGGCGUUGCUGCCUCCCUGCGGAGCCUGUGAGUGUCCAGCGGCUGGUCUGCCUGGUGCCUCCCGGCCCGGUCUUCCACAUGCAGCAGGUCCUCUUCCUGGAGCAGGUUUCAGCUCACACAAAUCUGCACAAACCCUGGUCAUCCUUAAAGCCCAGCUGAAGCACUCUCAUUCCAGGCAGCUGGCCCUAACGCCCUCAUUUGAGAUAGCCACUCCCUGCUCAUGGCUCCUGACAAACCUUUUCCUUCCUCUGCUCUUGCACAGCUGAACUUCGCAAGAACUUGGAGCAUCCCUUUCAAACGGAGGGGCCGGAUCCUGCAGGGCUUCCCCCCAGCGCAGCAGCUGGCACCACCCAGGAUUCCAGAGAGAACCAGACAGCAUGACCACGAUGGAGCCACAGGCUUUGCAACCGGAUCUCAGGAGCCACAUCGCAUCUUCUCUGCUCCUUCCAUCCCUAGAAUCCAGUCCUGAGUCACGCAGUCCAGCCCACAUCAGGGACAGGGGACUGCACUGGCUAUGAGCACUGGGGGCCACCCCUAAGGUACCCACUGUGGCGGCAGCAGCGCCUACUACGCAGAGUGGCCUUGAGAACUGAGAAUCUGCGGCUCAGUGCCCGGCCUCCCAGCGCUCGCGGCUCAGCGAGUGUGAGAACCAUCUCCUCCUGUGUGCUCCUCCUCCUGCUGAAUCACAGCUUAACUCCUCAAUGUCGAUGCCUCCCGUAUCCCAGGCUCUCUCUCUGGUGUUGAGGGACACUCAGAUGAAUGAGAUGUGGCCCCUGACCUGGAGAAUCCCACAAUUAAAGUGGGGCGUGGCAGGUGCUUUGAUGUGGGGGAGGCAAAGGGGAGGUGUCCCGCAGCAGGGAGCAGCAUCGCAUGUGCCCGGGGGCCCCCAGGUGGGCAUCCUCCUGUCAGAGCCCCUCCGGUGAGCCCAGACGCAAUGGGACGAUUAACCCGUGUUCAGCACUACCGAGCCGUGAAUCUCGCUGAGCGGGUGUGUGCUGCCUGUAAAUGAGCCUUAUGUAACAGGGAUGCUGGAGCAGCUGGCGCCCGCACACAGCCCUUCUUUUAAAAUAGAUUGCUUGUCUUUA